rnacentral:lncRNA from 1 species
UCCAACCUGAGUGACAGAGAGAGACUCUGCCUCAAAAAAAAAAUCAUCUCUAAGUGAGUGUGGCUAGUGGUCAACAUUCACAUUUCUGUCCAAUGGAAAUUGCUAGAUCCCAGCUGCUAGCUUUGUAGAAAACCUGCAGGUCAGCAUUGCAUUCCAGGUUUGCAGGUAGAACUAGACCAUGACCUUCACUUGGGAUCAUGUCAAGAUCCUAAAAUUGGUUGCAGAAAUAUUUCUUUUUCCAUCCGUUGAAGAAAAUAACUCUACUGUGGUUAUCUUUAUUUUGGCAUCUUGGGAGAAACUUAAGGAAGAAUGUUGACCCCAAAUGUGCUGGUAUCUGAAACAUUUGGUUACUCUUCAAACCACUAGAUCACAUGUCCCUGAUAGAUGGUGGGGCCACUGAGGAGGAGUCUGGGGGCAUGGGGAGCAGGCAGAAGGGGGGCCCAGUGGGCUGGCAUCUGUGAGGACAAGAGCAGGGCUCUUGCGUCUGUGAGUUGUUUAACCUCAUCUCUCUAUUCUGCAUAUAAGGGGAUGGAGACUCAAGAAGUUAAAGAAAAUUUACCCAAGGUCACAGAGCUAGAAAGUGGCAGGAGUCCGGCUUCAAAAUUCAGAUGACUACACACCCCAGUUCCCUCUCAGCCAGGCCACCUUCCUUAGAGAACAACCAAACCCACACCAAAAGGUGAACACAAGCUGAAUCACCAGGACUCAUCAGCAGCGAGGCUUCCUUGGUCCUUUCCCUAGAAAUUCAGGCUCCUGUACUGAAAAAAAUGAAGCAGCUGGAAGCAGUCUUGAGCCCAUAAAUCUGUACCCACUGCAGGGGUCCCGAACUUUUUGUGGGGGGCACACCCCUUUGAAAAUCUAAUAAAAUGAUCAACCCUCUCUUGGGGAAAAAAAGCAGACAUCCAAAUUUUGGCUGACAAUU